rnacentral:rRNA from 1 species
GUGAGUAACACGUAUCCAACCUGCCGUCUACUCUUGGACAGCCUUCUGAAAGGAAGAUUAAUACAAGAUGGCAUCAUGAGUCCGCAUGUUCACAUGAUUAAAGGUAUUCCGGUAGACGAUGGGGAUGCGUUCCAUUAGAUAGUAGGCGGGGUAACGGCCCACCUAGUCUUCGAUGGAUAGGGGUUCUGAGAGGAAGGUCCCCCACAUUGGAACUGAGACACGGUCCAAACUCCUACGGGAGGCAGCAGUGAGGAAUAUUGGUCAAUGGGCGAGAGCCUGAACCAGCCAAGUAGCGUGAAGGAUGACUGCCCUAUGGGUUGUAAACUUCUUUUAUAAAGGAAUAAAGUCGGGUAUGGAUACCCGUUUGCAUGUACUUUAUGAAUAAGGAUCGGCUAACUCCGUGCCAGCAGCCGCGGUAAUACGGAGGAUCCGAGCGUUAUCCGGAUUUAUUGGGUUUAAAGGGAGCGUAGAUGGAUGUUUAAGUCAGUUGUGAAAGUUUGCGGCUCAACCGUAAAAUUGCAGUUGAUACUGGAUAUCUUGAGUGCAGUUGAGGCAGGCGGAAUUCGUGGUGUAGCGGUGAAAUGCUUAGAUAUCACGAAGAACUCCGAUUGCGAAGGCAGCCUG